rnacentral:rRNA from 1 species
UACGUAGGUGGCAAGCGUUGUCCGGAUUUAUUGGGUUUAAAGGGUGCGUAGGCGGCCCCAUAAGUCAGUGGUGAAAUACGGCAGCUCAACUGUCGAGGUGCCAUUGAUACUGUGGGGCUUGAGUACAGACAAGGUAGGCGGAAUUGACGGUGUAGCGGUGAAAUGCUUAGAUAUCGUCAAGAACACCGAUAGCGAAGGCAGCUUACUAGGCUGUAACUGACGCUGAGGCACGAAAGUGUGGGGAUCAAACAGG